UACGAAGGGGGCUAGCGUUGCUCGGAAUCACUGGGCGUAAAGGGUGCGUAGGCGGGUCUUUAAGUCAGGGGUGAAAUCCUGGAGCUCAACUCCAGAACUGCCUUUGAUACUGAAGAUCUUGAGUUCGGGAGAGGUGAGUGGAACUGCGAGUGUAGAGGUGAAAUUCGUAGAUAUUCGCAAGAACACCAGUGGCGAAGGCGGCUCACUGGCCCGAUACUGACGCUGAGGCACGAAAGCGUGGGGAGCGAACGGG
rnacentral:rRNA from 1 species